rnacentral:lncRNA from 1 species
AACUUUUGUGGUGGAUGGUUCUUGUUGUCAGCUUUGCAAGGACUAUUUGCACGCUUAGAUUGAGUAAAGGCCAAGGAAGUUAUGGUGGUUGGAGUGAAGAGGAGUCGGCCGUGGUGAAGAUGUAGCACUCCGCCAACUCAAGCUACUUUGGAAGGUCAUAUCUUGGAAUUCACUCAAGAUUUUUAAGAAAAAAUUGUUGGAGGUGAUGCGGCUUUAAUUCUAGUUUCUGGAAUGCUAAAGCAUAUGCGUUGCACAACUAGAAUGGAGCAAGGGCAAGGGUUUUUGUGGCCAAGGGUACUUUGACUAGGCCGAGAAAGUCAGGCAACUUUGAGGCAAGAUUUCUUUUAGCUUAAUUGUUGUUUUGCAUUGAAUUUUGUUAGAGGACAAGCGCUUGUAAGUCUACUUUCUAAAAUAGUAAAGCUUGUUAUAAACAAGUUAGUGAUGCAACCAUUGUAGUGGAAUUCGUGCAAGGGGGUCGAUACCAUGACUGGAAGGAGGCGACUUCCAAUUUUCUUUAAUUUUUAGGAUGAAUCUUGGAUGAAUUAGGUCAAUUGCACGAAUCGUCAGUUGGAUGAUAAGUUGACUUAUGGUUGGAUGAAUGAAUCUUUAGAUGAAAAUUAGAUGAACAAACUUUGAAUGAAUGAAUGUUAUGGGAUGAAUGAGAAUUAAGGGAUGGAUGAUUGAUGAAUGGAAAUUUAGGAUGAAUGAACUUAGGGUCUAUGGAUGAACUUAGGAUUUAUGGAUGAACUGAGGGUUUAUGGAUGAACUUAAGAUUUAUGGAUGAACUUAGGGUUUAUGGAUGAACUUAGGGUUUAUGAAUGAACUUAGGGUUUAUAAAAAUUACGUGUGAGUGAAGUUAAUCCACUUGACUACUAAACGCAAUUAAGGGUGGAGGAAUUUAGCUCACAUAAAUGGUGCGUUUGCUGGGAGCCGAUCUUAGAGACGUCGUCUAACCAUUUUUUUUUUUUUUUUUUUUUUUUUUUUUUUGAGUGAGAUGAUUGAUUACAUGGAGGAUGGAGAUAAUAGGAGCAAGAUGAUGGGGUCGUGAUUGGAGGGAGCACAGCAGAAGGUAUGUGGGUCUUGGGGAUAUCUAUGUGAGUUUGUGCUAGAAACCUUAGCAUGUGAUCGAGAGGCCGGUGGUAUACUAACGGCGCAGGAAGCUGGAAUUGCAUGAGGUAAGCCAUGAUACAUUGAAUGAUCUAUAUUAACUUAGGAUUGUAAUUCGUCGUUGUCGUUGCCUUGUUAGUGGGUAAUGCCUCGACAGUGAGUUGAAUUGAGAAUGAGGGGAGUUCUGGCCACGAAGGCAGAAUCACAGUUUCUUGUUUACUGACCGGGUAAGCCCCACAACAUAGGUUGUACCGUAUGCCAAGAUUGGACUAGCGGGCUGGUUUGCCUUGGUGAAUUCCAUGUCAUCGCCCGUAAAUACUAUCUUGGUGGUUUGCGUUCCCUACCCACCUGAGGGUAGGCUAGAUUAUUAAUUAUCAAUUUAAAUUUUUUUUAAAAAAAAAAAAAAAAAAAAAAUGGGUUGGUAGGUAAUGAGAGAAGGUCAGUGAGGACGUUUAGAUGUUCCUGAAAACUAGAUCUCAAAAACCUACUUUGAACCAAGGACUUGAACGUAUUGAAAGACGUGGAGGCAAGGUCGUGGAUAACAAGGAAGCAACCCCUUCUCGGAAAACACUCAUUAAUAAUAGAAGCAAUGAAGAAUUUCUUGGAGGAGAUAUUAGAAGGAAUUUAGAAAAGGCUUUAGGAGACGUCGAAGGCAGCGAGCUAUUGGAGGAGUUGGAAGUGGAGGAGUUAGAGAUAGAACACGUAGACCCUGAAGACGGAGUGUUUGGAGACGUGAACCUUAGGAAAAUAGGAGAACAGGAUAGGACCUUGGACUUUGUGCCUGCGGUCGAAGGAUUUGUUCACGAGAUGGCGACGGAGCGGCUUCCAACUUUGGAUCCCUUAGUUAGGCCAUGAGGUUUGCCCGUGGCUAUGCCAGCAGGGCUAUUAGUGGCCACAGUUCCAGGGAAUUUCUCCAAGUUCUAUGGCACCAAGGACGAGGAUCCAACCCUACACAUGGAGAGGUACAUAGAGAUUUUGACAACAUCCCUUAUUAGGAACGAGGGAUAUUAUCUGGUUUGGUUCCCCGGAACCUUACACAGUGAGGCUUACAAUUGGUACUAGGACCAUGAUGAGGGACAUUUUAUCACGUGGUCCCAGUUGCAAGUAGCCUUCUUAAACCACUUUAGGCCGGAGGUUGGACAAAGUACAGCCUUGAGAGUACUGGGAGCGAUACGACAGCAAAGAGACGAGGAAAUGGCUAAGUACAUCAGGAGGUUUGACUUGGUCUGCAUACGUUAUGUAGGAGGAUUGUUGAAUGGCGAUACGUUAAAGCAAUUCUUCAUUGAAGGAUUUGCUAAUCGAUCUACAAUCAAGGGAGUAUUAGAGAGAAACCCAGCCACUUUGAAGGAAGCCAAAACAGCGGCGUGCGUUGUAGAUUUAAUUGAGAGAAGUUAUGAAAGGCAUUAGAAGAAGGAAGAUGAGUCUAUCCCGGGGUUUAUUCCAAAUAAUCCCAUAAAUCAAGCGGUAGAACCAAGCACGUCAAGUACACCUCCGAUAGUCGAUAAUGGUGCCCAAUAUUACAAUGUCAUGCCCACGGCCACCAGAGCUCCGGUACCCUUAUUGGCGUUACCAGAGCCACAAUUGGAGAAGAGAGUGGAGGACUUGGAGAAGAAAAUACAGACCAGACAAGAAGGUUUUCAAGACUCCAUGAUGAAGCAAAUCUAAGCCUUGACUGAGCAGAUGGCAUUCAUGGUAAAGAAUCAAAAUUCAAACACCCCACCUCCUCGGAUAGAGUCUAGUAACCAUAACUCGGGGGUUUGGUACACUACUUGUGGCCAAAAUGGGCAUUCAUCUCUUCAGUGCCGAGUAAGGCCUCAAGGUAAUCCAAAUCCUCAAUCAUACCAGCCAACACAGGGCUAUGGAAGAGAUAGAGGACCUCAGCAGCGGCAAGGAGGUUAUCAAGGUGGUCCUCAAGGAUAUGGUAGAAGUGGCUGGCCUCGGAAGGAGUACCAUGAGCUUUGCAGGAGAUGGCAUGAGCCGGGUCAGUGUUGGGAUGACGGCCAACCAUGAUCGUGUGGCAAUUGUGGUGGCAAUCACCCUACCCAUGAAUGUAGACAACCUGAUAAGGUAAUUCAACUACCACCACCAAUAACAAAUCCUUAUGAGAACGUGCGGAAUAACAUGAGAGAUCAGAGACGACCUCAUGGUGAUGAUCAGAGGGGCCUAAAACCUCCUAAUCUCUACUACAACUAUGAGGAUUUCAGACAAAACCAUCAAUCUUCGGAAGGGUUACAAACCCGCCAAGGUUAUAUCCCAGUUGCCCAAAAUCAACAAGGUGGCUAUCGAAACUAUGCAAACCAGAAACAAGGUCCAUCUUCUAACCAAGAUGUUAGAGUAGUGGAAGAGGUCUUAUUGAAUGGUCCUGCGCCAUCUCUAGCAAAGACCACACUGGUGAUUGAAGAACAUGAAGCACCUUCUAAUUUAGUGACCCACGAAUUGAAGAAGGACAGAGGCGGUGGCCAUGAGAAUGCUACUUUGGCUGUGAUUACCAGAGGGCAAGCUCAUAGGCAAUCACCAAUUGAUGAAGAAGACUCAGAUAGUAGUGAGUCUGAAGAGUUGUUGGAUUUAGUAGCUCUUGAGGCGGCUGCAAAGGACGCGGCAAGAAUUACAAGGGAGGUAGGCACCGCGAUGGGUGAUAAAAGGUCAUCUGAAGGUUUUGAUUUAGGUAAAGGGUUAGAACCGGGUGAAUGGGAGGGUCUAGAUAUUCCAGAGGAGGAGUUUGGAAGGUUGGGUUGUACAAUGCCAACCUCUUAUCAAAAGUAUGACCUCUGGAGGGACUUGCGGAGGAUAAAGGCUGACAUCUCAAUUGCUCAACUAUUGGAGAUAUCUCCUUUGAUGAGGAAGAGUUUCAAAGAAGGAUUGCCUAGGGCGAAGAGGAAGAAAAAGACUCAGAAGAGGAUAGUGGCUAGGGUACAAGCAUCUAUUAGGCCAGUGGAUGUGAAGGCAAUAGAGAUCAAGGUCACUAUCGUGGACAAGGUGGUUCCGAAUGUGCUCAUUGAUGGAGGUAGUGGGCUUAACAUCAUGCCACUUCAUACUAUGGAGAAGUUGGGGUUGAAUUUAACCGGACCUUCACCAUUUGUAUUAAAUAUGGCAGAUCAGAGUCCUGCUAGGCUUUUAGGCCAGAUCACGAACUGUAAAAUCUCUACAGGAGGGGAGGAUUACUUAGUGACCUUCCAUGUUAUCAGGAUGCACACUUCCAAAGAGUCUUUUCUACUUCUCUUAGGUCGUCCGUGAUUGAGGAUGGCCAAUGCCACCAUCAUGUGGGGUAGUGUAGAAUAAGUAGUUAUUUGUUGAAUUGUAGAUACUUAGUUCAUAGUGUAAACAGGGAUAGAUGACUGUUGAAAAGGUAGUUCAGUAGGUAAAAUGGAUGAAUAGUUAGGAAAAGCAGUUUUCAUUAGAGAUGUAGCAGUUGGUAUCUCGUGGUAGCAUAAGGAGGAUGAUAGAGAGGAAGUAGGGGCCAUUACUGUGAUAGUGUGAGCCGGGGUAAGCUUGGUGCUACCUCUUUUCUUUUGUUGUUAUGUUCUUUGAAAUAAGAGUAUUGAGAGUUUCUGAAUAUUGUGAAGUGAAUCAUGGAAUGAAAGUGUGAAUGGAAUUAUAUGUUAUUGAAUGAGAAGAAGAGAGAUUGAAUGCUGAAAUCUGAAUGUAGUUCAGCAGAGAGAAUGAGUCUGUGUUUGUGUGAAACACUGUAAUGUGAAGGCAGUUAAUGGUGAAGAACUCCAGAAUUUGGAUUAUAGUAUGAUUAUGUCCUGUCAUUUAGGAUAGUGCGGGAUUACAUGUUGUUGUUAUCAGUGAUGGUGGAGUAUUAUUAGGAAGUGGAAAGCAUUGUAGUGUUUCUUGGAUGUUUUAAGUAGUGCGGAAUACAGUUAAUUGUGUGACCCUAACGUGUAAGCUCAUGCAGUAUUCUUUCCCUGUGUUCGAAUUCCCCUAUACAGGUUUACUCUGAUUAGAUAAGUUAGAGUAAGUAAAACGACAAUCACAUUUUGGCGCCGCUGCCGGGGAAAUUGAUAAUAGCAUGGAGUGUUAGGUUUUAACUGCCGGUUGAAGUAGAUGGGAAAUAGGUAGCAGUCGCAGAAGAAUAUAAUGAAAGAGUAUGGUUAUUAAGAAUGAGAAGUUAACAGUAAAGAAAAUACGGCAGUCAAGAGAAAGAAUAGAGAGAUCGCAAGCAAGAAAUUUGUUGCGAUACGAGCAACAAAGAAAGUUAAAAAGGAAUCAUAGACAAAGCUGGAUUAAGCCAUGGUUGCAUGCCUGUCGUCAUAUUCGAGCAUACCCAGAAGCUAAUCGACAUCUAAUAUUUCAGAAGUAUAUACCGUUAGAGAAAUUGCCAAGAGCACUUGCUGAAAAUUUGAUCAAUAGGCCAGGGUUUCUUCUGAGACCGUUAACUGAGAGUGGGGGAAUCACAGAAGAGUUGGGUACUCCAUUGGGUACGUUUCUAAUAGCGGAAACUGCCGAUUCCGUCAAAACUGGUUCCAUAGAGUGGCAUAAAUUAUUGGUCAAUAAGGGCCAAUUCAGUGUGUUUCAAAAUCCGUCAUUCUCACCUCCUAUUCAACCAAUAAACUUGUUCAAGGAUAAUAAUAGCAAAUUGAGCAGGGUGGAAAGUUCGGAAAAUAUAUUUAGGAGAGACGCAGACUAUAUUAACAAACGAUUAAGUGUCACAUUGUCAAAUUCAAUGACGACGGGAGGUCCAGCGGUUCCCAUAGCAGUACAAAUGGGUACUAUGAGUGAUCGCACAACUAGCAUGGCUCCAUUACCUACCUUUAGGGGCUUUCCAAGUGCGGAUCCAGAUCAAUAUUUGUCACAGUUUUUGACAGCAUGUGUCGCCAAUAAUGGGAGAACCGAGGAUAUUUGGUUACGAUGGUUGCCAGCAACCUUAAAGGAUACGGCGUUUGAAUGGUAUAACCGUCAACCAGUUGGUCAAUUUUUGAACUGGGAAGCAUUGAAGAAUGCAUUUUUGACCCGUUUUCGACCAAUUGGUUUUGAAGACCGUCUUCGAGGAAGGUUAAUGAACAGCAAAAUGAUCCUAGGAGAGGCGGUGGAAUCGUUCUAUGGCCGAGUGGCUGAUAUACUUAGUAAGUGGCCGAACCACCAAAUACCGGAGGCAUUUAUAUUAUCUAUAUUAAUAAAUGGUUUGCACCCACCAGAGCUAAAAAUGUUUGUAAAAGAAGCUCAACCAGUUACGAUAUCUGCAUCCCUUGAUAGAGCCAAGGUUUGGGAGGAAUGCCAUUAUGAUCAGUUUUUAACUGCGUGUGCCACGAUGAUACCAGUUCAAAGCAAUUAUCAAUAUCCGGCUUUGAACGGAUCAGUGGGUAGUUAUCCACAGAUGAUCGAAACAGUUGCCCAGUCAAGUGCCAAUACUCAGGGGCCAGUUAAUGUUACCCCAUUGCAAGCUUUACCACCGCAAGUAACAACAGCGUAUGCCCCAUAUUUUCCAUAUCAAACACACGAGUCAACUUUGGCGGAAAAACAAAUAAUAUCAGCUUCAAAAGAUUCCAAUGAAGCCUUGUUAUUGAACUUAACGAAGAAAAUGGAGGAAAUGGCCGUUAAUAUGGCCAAAGAUAAGGAGAAGAGGCAAAAGCCAACCAAUACUAGGACCAAUGUAUGGUGCAGUAAUUGUCAGGGCCACGGUCAUUUGGUAACGGAAUGCCCGUCACCUUCACAAGUGUUGGGUAAAUGUACAUUUUGUGGAGGCAAGCACUUAACCGCUAAUUGUUGGAAUUUGCAAAGACAACAACAAUUCAGUAAUCCGACCAUGAUUCCACCAACUCCAUGGGAUGUCAAUCAAGUUCAAACAGGAAAUACGUUUGGAUGGCAUGGAAAUCGAUCUAACCGACAAAAUCGAGUAGUCAAUCAUUUUCAGAAUUCCACUUAUAGUGAGGGGUUUGUAUCAAAUCCUCGGAACUAUGGUAAGGAGCAGCAUGGGUAUCAGCCAUAUGCUCCAUCGAUGCCAUUGAACCAAGUACAACCGGGACAACCAGGAUCGUUUUCUCAACCUACAUGGAACAAACCUAGUAGGUAUAUACCGGUGGAGACACCCAAUAUGCCUGAUGGGGGUGCAAAAAGGCCAUUGCGUUGUUUCCGUUGUAGACAGAUUGGUCAUUAUGCCAAUGAAUGUCCCAAUCCAAGAGCCAGUGACGAUUAUGCCCCAGUUUGUGGGAAUUGCAAGCAGUCAGGGCAUACGUAUCAGCAAUGUAAUGCUCCAUUCAAUUUCAAUAAUCGGGAUCAACAGAUCCAGAGUCCAGGAAAAAUGGAGGGAAUAAAUCGAGGACCUCAAGACUCUCCAGUAAAUCGGGUGGAAUGUGUCCAUACCGUUCUUACUAGGAGCUAGCAAAAAGGGAAAGGCCCAAUUAAACAUUUGGAAGAUCCUAAAGCGAAGGGCCAAUCACACCCAAUUACGGACCAAUCCCAUUCAGGCCCGGAAACUGGGAAAGUCUCGAGCCUUGAUUUGGUUACGAAGCCCAAUGAGGUCCCAAUUACGGAGUCUUCAGUUCCGUCUCGAACCGGUCUGUUCCCACCGCAGUUCCAAGAAGCAUCAUACCCGUUGAAAGAUCCCCUUGGGAAAGGAAGUCCCAAGGAAGCUCAAUCUGCUGUUCCAAUUCCAAGUCCAGGGCGGCAGAAUAAAUUACCUCACGGAGUUAAGCUCAAACCCAUGAAACGGAAGAGGGCAUUGGGAAUUACCCUAAAUAUGGAACCCUAUGACAUUUUAAAGGAUUUGGACGCUAUUCGGCCUUCAAUCUCUAUGAAGCAACUUCUAGCAGUCGCACCAGAGUGUCGUUCCACCUUGAAUUCAUCCCUAACAAGACAUCGGCAUCGUAAUAUGGAAGUUUGUGAAGUUAGUUUGAACCCUGAUCCAGGUGCACCAACCAUUGAUGUUUCGAUUGAUGGUGUUCGGAUCUCUGGCGUCCAGGUAGAUGGAGGUUCCAGCGUCAAUUUAAUGAACGCUGAUACAAUGGAUGCUUUAGGUCUGGAACAAUUAGUCCCCACGACAUUGGUAUUACGGAUGGCAGAUCAUAGCCGAGUUAAGCCAAUGGGUAUUUUACGGAGUGUUCAAACUAUAAUUGCAGGUAUUGCCUAUGAAAUUGACUACAUUGUCUUUCGCUUACAACGUUCGACUUUAUCGUACCCUAUUUUAUUGGGACGACCCUGGCUGUAUCAAGCGAAGGCCAAAAACGAUUGGGGUCGAGGUACUUUGACAAUUGGUAAGGGCGUAGAUAAAAUGGUGUUACAAAUGUACCCAGUACGCUAUCACGGGGAGUCUCAGUUGCCAGUAUCUGAAUUGACGUCGGACGAAGGGCUUAGCUCCGAUGAUGACACAGAAGUACCGAGUACGGAGGCCAAUGUGGAGGCAGCACAGCACCCUGAGGUGGUGUACCAAUGUGGAGGUCCGGGGGAGUACUUGAUAUACCCGAAGGAUUCGGAAAACUCUGCUUAUGUAAGUAUUGACUGGAAACAUUGAUGAUUUCAGCACCCAAUCUGAUGUAGAUUCUCACAUUUAUUUGGUGAAAGAAAGCUUAGAGAGAUGCAAGAAAGCUCGAAUGGCCCUGAAUCUAGAAAAAACCUAUCUUGCCUUGACUAGAGGCAUUUUGUUGGGAUAUAUGGUUAGUAAGAGGGGUCGUGAGCCCGAGCCAGAAAAGGUGAAGGUAAUUCAGAAUUUAUCACCUCCUACCAGUGUGAAGGAAGUGCAACAUGUAUUGAGACACACCGGUUGGUAUAGGGAGUUGAUUGAAGAUUACGCCACUAUUAUCCUUUCCAUGACUAGCCUUCAGAAGAAAGGCACCAACUUUAUAUGAACUCAGGCUUGUAAUGAUGCUUUUGAGGUUCUAAAGAAGGAAUUGUCUUCUUAUCCAAUAUUGAGGCCCCCGAGGUGGGACUUGCCUUUCCACAUCUAUUGUGAUGCAAGUGCGGUGGCGGUUGGCAGCAUUCUGUGCCAACUUGUAGAAGGCCCAAGCAAGGGUAAGGAUCAUCCAAUUGCCUACGCUAGUAGGCAAUUAAAUCUUGCAGAGAAAAAUUAUUCCACCAUUGAGAGGGAAUGUCUAGCCAUGGUGUUCUCAGCUAAGAAGUUUAGACAUUAUCUGUUGAGCAACAAAGUGGUUUUUUAUGUGGAUCACAUGGCCAUCAAGUAUUUGGUUAACAAAUUUGAGUUGAACGGUCGGCUAGCUAGGUGGGACUUGUUGCUACAAGAGUUUGAUUACACUGUGGAGUACAAAUCUGGAUCUGUACACAAACAAGCAGAUUACAUGUCGAGAUUCCCUAGAGGAAUGGAGACCCACCCGAUUGAUGAUAGAUUGAUAGACGAGAGUCUUUUCUUGGUGAUAGCUAGACCAGCAUGGUAUUCUAGGAUUAUUGAGUUCUUGACUAUUCAACAAUUGCCAGUGGAUUUAUCCAAGGACGAGAGGCGGAAGAUUCGGAUCAAUAGUUGUCAUUUUAUGGUGUUAGAGAACCGAUUGUAUCGACGUGGAUUGGAUGGAGUGUUAAGACGUUGUGUGAUGGAAGAUGAGGUUCCUUCCAUUUUGUCGGCUUGUCAUGACAGUGCGUGUGGCAGACAUUUUUCUGGCCAAUUGACUGGUCAGAAAAUUCUUAGGGCUGGUUAUUACUGGCCAACACUCUUCAAGGACGUUCAUACCUAUGUAAGGCAUUGUGAUGCAUGUCAGAGAUUUGCUAGGAAUGACCUUCACAUGCAGUUGCCGCUUCACAUUUUCCUACCAUUGGUGCCAUUCGAGAAGUAGGGCAUCGAUUACAUGGGAGAGAUUCAUCCUCAUUCAUCUCGAGGAAUGGCAUAUAUUGUAGUGGCCACCGAAUAUCUCACUAAGUGGGCUGAAGCCAAGGCUAUGCGGACAAAUGAUGCCAAAAAUGUUGCGAUCUUUUUCUUUGAGAAUGUGAUUACUAGAUUUCGGGUCCCGAAGAUCCUUAUGAGUGAUCGAGGUACUCAUUUCCUCAACGAGAUGAUUGAAUCCAUGACUGAGCGAUUCCUGAUUGAUCACCGGAAGACUACACCCUAUCACCUUUAAACCAAUGGUCAGACAGAGCGAGUCAACCAAACACUGGGUACUAUAUUGAGGAAAACUGUUAGAGACUCCAAGCGUGAUUGGGAUGUGAAACUGCCAGCCGCCUUAUGGGCAUAUAGAACAACAUUCAAGGUCACCACGUAGGCUACGCCAUUCUCUCUAGUCUAUAGACUGGAAGCAGUUUUACCAAUUGAGUUUGAGGUUCCAUCCCUUCGGAUUGUAGUAGAUUCCAGAUUGAUUGACAAAUAAUCUUUAAAGACAAGGUUGUACGAGCUCGAGGCGUUGGAUGAGAGCAGGAGACGAGGGGCUCAACACAUUGAGGCCAUCCAGAGGCGGCGCAAGGUCGUGUUUGAUAAACGGAACAAGACUCGGGUCUUGCAACCUGGUAUGCUAGUAUUGUUACAAGACGCUCGGAAGAUCGACUUUCCAAGCAAGUUUGAUGCCGUAUGGUUGGGUCCUUAUCUUGUCAAGAAGGUGUUUUUAAACAACUCCAUACAAUUUGAGACCUUGAAUGGUCAAUUGUUUCCCACACGAACAUCAGGUAGCAGGUGUAAAGAAUAUAAGACAUGAGGGAGCGUAAUUUUGGGCAAGAGCUCCACCUUUCUAUCUUAUGACAAGGCGACAGUAUGAACUGGCAUGGUGAAAAUACUUUAAAGGAUAAAUAAUGGCAAGUACAAGCUGGAUUCGUCCCUUGAUGGUCGCCAAUUAUGUGAGCCCAAAAGUUGGUUCACAUUGUUGGUUAAACUAAAAAAAUCUAAAAAAAAUGAGGAUUUUGACUAUAUUUUAUUAUAAUAAGUUAGUUAUAGACAUUAAUGUUAGUGGCUUAUUGAUGAUUAGUAGUGGAAAGAAAAAUCAAGGGAGAAGGGAGUGGUAGAAAAGAUAAGAAAAAGAGCCAAAAGAAAAAAAAAAAAUAAAAAAAAAAGAAAAAAAGAAAAGAAAACAAAAAGGCCAAGAAGAGAGAAGGAAGAAGAUGAAGAGGGACAAGGAGAAGAAGAAGAAAAAGGAGAAGAAAAUAAUUAGAAGUAAAUUUAUUGUGAUGGGGUUGUCAAAUUGUUGGUUCUUAAUGAUCUAGAACUUAGAUUUGGGUAUAUGAAUAGUCAAACUUGAUGUUUAAAUAUGUUUUAAACACAUUGGUGGAGUUAGUUUUGUCAAAAAAUGCUUCGAAUUGGGGGUUUUGGGCAUGCCCAGCCCUAAAAUCGGGUUUAGGACUUAGGAUUAAUGUGGGCCCUUGAUCUUGAUUAGGGUUGGUGGAUUCGGAUGGUGGAGAUGUAGCCGCCACCCUUUGGUCUCUUCCUACUUGGAUAAGAGGGUGGGGGUGGCCACACUCCCUCUCUCUCUUUUUUUUUUUUUUUUUUUUUUUUUUUUUCUUUCGGGCGAAGCCAUGCCAAAUUGCUUCCCCACGUACCCUUGUUUCUAUAGAGCUGCAAUUGCGCAGCUGUAGUGUAUUAGUUAUUUGGAAACAGAACGUCAAACUUUACCAAUAGUUAGAUCUUGUCGUUAGCUUCCUCAGGACAGUAGGCACGCUUUGUUUGGGAGAAAACAAGAAAGUUGUGGUGUUUUAGUGACAAGGAGGUCAGCUGCCGGCCAGAUCUGGAGGUCCGACUUUGGAAGGCGAUUGUUGGCGGACAGUAUUGAAUUUGGAGCUGAAACUUUUGUGGUGGAUGGUUCUUGUUGUCAGCUUUGCAAGGACUAUUUGCACGCUUAGAUUGAGUAAAGGCCAAGGAAGUUAUGGUGGUUGGAGUGAAGAGGAGUCGGCCGUGGUGAAGAUGUAGCACUCCGCCAACUCAAGCUACUUUGGAAGGUCAUAUCUUGGAAUUCACUCAAGAUUUUUAAGAAAAAAUUGUUGGAGGUGAUGCGGCUUUAAUUCUAGUUUCUGGAAUGCUAAAGCAUAUGCGUUGCACAACUAGAAUGGAGCAAGGGCAAGGGUUUUUGUGGCCAAGGGUACUUUGACUAGGCCGAGAAAGUCAGGCAACUUUGAGGCAAGAUUUCUUUUAGCUUAAUUGUUGUUUUGCAUUGAAUUUUGUUAGAGGACAAGCGCUUGUAAGUCUACUUUCUAAAAUAGUAAAGCUUGUUAUAAACAAGUUAGUGAUGCAACCAUUGUAGUGGAAUUCGUGCAAGGGGGUCGAUACCAUGACUGGAAGGAGGCGACUUCCAAUUUUCUUUAAUUUUUAGGAUGAAUCUUGGAUGAAUUAGGUCAAUUGCACGAAUCGUCAGUUGGAUGAUAAGUUGACUUAUGGUUGGAUGAAUGAAUCUUUAGAUGAAAAUUAGAUGAACAAACUUUGAAUGAAUGAAUGUUAUGGGAUGAAUGAGAAUUAAGGGAUGGAUGAUU